rnacentral:rRNA from 1 species
GAUGAACGCUGGCGGCGUGCCUAAUACAUGCAAGUCGAGCGAACAGACGAGGAGCUUGCUCCUCUGACGUUAGCGGCGGACGGGUGAGUAACACGUGGAUAACCUACCUAUAAGACUGGGAUAACUUCGGGAAACCGGAGCUAAUACCGGAUAAUAUAUUGAACCGCAUGGUUCAAUAGUGAAAGACGGUUUUGCUGUCACUUAUAGAUGGAUCCGCGCCGCAUUAGCUAGUUGGUAAGGUAACGGCUUACCAAGGCAACGAUGCGUAGCCGACCUGAGAGGGUGAUCAGCCACACUGGAACUGAGACACGGUCCAGACUCCUACGUGAGGCAGCAGUAGGGAAUAUUCCGCAAUGGGCGAAAGCCUGACGGAGCAACGCCGCGUGAGUGAUGAAGGUCUUCGGAUCGUAAAACUCUGUUAUUAGGGAAGAACAAAUGUGUAAGUAACUAUGCACGUCUUGACGGUACCUAAUCAGAAAGCAACGGCUAACUACGUG